UCCGGUUUGACACCGGCAGUCCCCUUAGAGUCCUCGGCAUAACCCGUUAGUAACUAAGGGCAAAGGUUUCGCUCGUUAAGGGACUUAACCCGACAUCUCACGACACGAGCUGACGACAGCCAUGCAGCACCUGUACUAGUUGUACCCCGAAGGGCCUACUCCGCUUUCACGGAGAUAAUCCUAGCAUGUCAAGCCCAGGUAAGGUUCUGCGCGUUGCUUCGAAUUGAACCACAUGCUCCACCGCUUGUGUGAGCCCCCGUCAAUUCCUUUGAGUUUUAGCCUUGCGACCGUACUUCCCAGGCGGUCCACUUAGCACUUUUGCUUCGACCAUAAUUACGUCAGAGCAACUACGAUCUAGUGGACAUCGUUUAGGGCCAGGACUAC
rnacentral:misc_RNA from 1 species